AAGAUGUCGCUAACAUCGCAUUGUUUUGUAGUCCUGUAGAAAGUUCUGGAUGCUUUCUUCGUAGUUUUCCUUAUGUUUUUGGAAUAAAUUCAACACCAUAUCAAAUAUUGUGUACUACCUGACAGGCUAACAACGUCUGGUUUUCGUCACCUGACUGAAACUGUUAUUCCUAUCUGUCUGAUCCUUCCUGAAAUUACUAAUCAUACAUUAGAAGGAGAUACUGGACUCAUAUUAUGCACCUGCUUCAGCGAAUUGCUGUCACACUGUGUUGUUUUUCCUGAUUAAUUGAAAGCAACAUUGCAUUAAAAGAGUAUUUCAGAAAAAUGCUGAAUUGCUUCACCAAAAACUCACACUUCCAUAUUUAUCAGCAGCUUAAUGGGAGCAGGAGCCCCUCUUGAAUAACAUCUCUCAAAAUAAAUCACCCUUCACCUUACCAGCCCGUUAAGGGCUGACGUCGAUUGUUACCACCAAUUUUGAAGUUUUGGGCUGUAGCUGUUUGUGGUGUAUUGGCUGCUUUUCGGUGAGGACGGGAUGAUCGUGACUUGGAUUUGGAAUCCUGGAAGUGUUCCUCACUAUAAGCUCCGGUCAACAUUAUGUUUUGCGGAUGCAUGUGUGCCAUACUUUCCCGCCAGAAGCCGUUCUUGUGGAGUGGACAGCCGGAAGUGGUUGAUUCCUGCAAUUUUUGACAUUAUUUGUUUCGUCUCUCGGAUCUCGAGUCGGCCGCCGAUGUCAAUCUACAACGCAGUUUCUUUGAUGGAAUUGUGUGGUCCCUGCACGAUGACAGAAAAGUCAUGGACGUUUUGCACAAUCGAUAUCUUCGUGACGCACGCUCAUCUAGCUUCACUGUUCCUCAUGCUGCUACUCAACUCGUCUUAGCACUGGCCAGUUUAACCACUCCAGUGAUCGCUUCCGUCCGCUGUUACACACCUGCAGUCACUCACCACGGGAUUACCAACACCACGAGGUAAUGCAGAGAUGUUGCCUAGAUGAACACCAAAAGAUUGACGGCAGCCCUAAAAUGUCAGCGUGGAUCAUCAUAUGUUGUUGGUAUUGUUGCGUUUGUUUUGUGUUAGUUAACCCGUUGUCUGCCACGCCUUUGUUCUCCCCUAGCUUUUUACCAUUGGCCACGCCGAAAGGCCAUGUUAGGCAAUGCACCAUAGGGACUUCCCCCUUGUCAGCCCGGACUUGUCAGCAA